rnacentral:rRNA from 1 species
AUUGAACGCUGGCGGCAUGCCUUACACAUGCAAGUCGAACGGCAGCACGGGAGCAAUCCUGGUGGCGAGUGGCGAACGGGUGAGUAAUAUAUCGGAACGUGCCCAGUCGUGGGGGAUAACGUAGCGAAAGCUACGCUAAUACCGCAUACGAUCUAUGGAUGAAAGCGGGGGAUCGCAAGACCUCGCGCGAUUGGAGCGGCCGAUAUCAGAUUAGGUAGUUGGUGAGGUAAAGGCUCACCAAGCCGACGAUCUGUAGCUGGUCUGAGAGGACGACCAGCCACACUGGGACUGAGACACGGCCCAGACUCCUACGGGAGGCAGCAGUGGGGAAUUUUGGACAAUGGGCGCAAGCCUGAUCCAGCAAUGCCGCGUGCAGGAUGAAGGCCUUCGGGUUGUAAACUGCUUUUGUACGGAACGAAAAGCCCUGGGUUAAUACCCUGGGGUCAUGACGGUACCGUAAGAAUAAGCACCGGCUAACUACGUGCCAGCCGCCGCCGUAAGAC